rnacentral:rRNA from 1 species
UAAUACGGAGGGCGCGAGCGUUGUCCGGAAUCACUGGGCGUAAAGGGCGCGUAGGCGGCUCGAUAAGGCUUGCGUGAAAGUCCGGGGCUCAACCCCGGAUCGGCGCGGGCGACUGUUGGGCUGGAGCACGGUAGGGGCAGACGGAAUUCCGGGUGUAGCGGUGGAAUGCGUAGAGAUCCGGAAGAACACCGGUGGCGAAGGCGGUCUGCUGGGCCGGAAGGGGGCAGAGCAAUCUGUCCCCGUGCUGACGCUGAGGCGCGACAGCGUGGGGAGCAAACAGGAUUAGAUACCCUGGUAGUCCACGCCGUAAACGAUGGGCACUAGGUGCCCGGGGGAGCGACCCUCCGGGUGCCGGCGCUAACGCAUUAAGUGCCCCGCCUGGGGAGUACGGCCGCAAGGCUG